rnacentral:lncRNA from 1 species
UUCAGCAUUGAGAUUUAUCUCAUCGAAAGUACCGCUACACCAACAACAAUCCCGUGAUCGUAACGCUUUGUGGUCUACGAGGGUAUGAUGCUCAUAAUCCCUCUCGUUACAUACAUCUAGUAGAUAUGAUCUUGGGUUUUUUCCGCACUUCUCGUAGAAUUUUUUUUGUUUUUCAUGCAACGAACCCAUUAGAAGAUUUUUAGAGAUAAGUUUGAUGAACAAACAAGAGCAAAGAGAAACUUAGGGUCAUGGAAGCAGUUUUAUUUAUGAGAUGAGAUCGGAGCCAUUGGAUGAAGAACUAGUGGUAAAAGAUGUAACGGGAAUUGGUGAACUGAAAAUAGUAGAGUGAUUUAUUUUUACCUUAUUAGGAUUCACAAAACUCCCCUUCUUUUGAACAGUAUAAGGGUCUUUGUACUCGGGCCUCUAGUUUUUGAAUGCUAUACUUGUUUUCUGAAAACUGUGCAAGAUUAUUUUCGGCCGGCUGAGAUUCACGUAUUUUCAAAACAAUCUAUUAAUUGCAUGUUCGCUAGAUCUGGUAACUUGUCUUCAUGCACUUGCCAACCUCGUCUUGC